UUAUAUAAGUUAUCGUUUAUUUGAUAUUGCCUAUCCUACAUGGAUAACAGUGGUAAUUCUAGAGCUAAUACAUGCUGAAAAUCCCGACUUCGGAAGGGACGUAUUUAUUAGAAUCAGAACCAAUGCCCUUCGGGGUUUUCUGGUGACUCAUGAUAACUCCACAGAUCGCAUGGCCUUGCGCCGGCGAUGGCUCAUUCAAAUUUCUUCCCUAUCAACUUUCGACGGUACGGUCUUGGCCUACCGUGGUUGUAACGGGUGACGGAGGGUUAGGGCUCGACCCCGGAGAAGGAGCCUGAGAAACGGCUACUACAUCCAAGGAAGGCAGCAGGCGCGCAAAUUAUCCAAUCCCGACUCGGGGAGAUAGUGACAAUAAAUACCGAUACAGGGCUCUUUUGGGCCCUGUAAUUGGAAUGAGUACAAUUUAAACCUCUUAACGAGGAACAAUUGGAGGGCAAGUCUGGUGCCAGCAGCCGCGGUAAUUCCAGCUCCAAUAGCGUAUAUUAAAGUUGUUGUGGUUAAAAAGCUCGUAGUCGAACCUCGAGCCUGGCCGGCCGGUCCGCCUCACCGCGUGCACUGGUCUGGCCGGGCUCUUCCCUCUGCGGAACCGCAUGUCCUUCACUGGGCGUGUCGGGGAGGCAGGACUUUUACUUUGAAAAAAUUAGAGUGCUCAAGGCAGGCCAAUGCUCGAAUACAUUAGCAUGGAAUAAUAGAAUAGGACGUUGGUUCUAUUUUGUUGGUUUCUAGGACCGCCGUAAUGAUCAAUAGGGACGGUCGGGGGCAUCAGUAUUCAGCCGUCAGAGGUGAAAUUCUUGGACCGGCUGAAGACUAACUACUGCGAAAGCAUUUGCCAAGGACGUUUUCGCUGAUCAGGAACGAAAGUUAGGGGAUCGAAGACGAUCAGAUACCGUCGUAGUCUUAACCAUAAACUAUGCCGACUAGGGAUCGGGCGGCGUUCUUUCUAGACCC
rnacentral:rRNA from 1 species